GGACGAACGCUGGCGGCGUGCUUAACACAUGCAAGUCGAACGUAAAGGCCCUGCUUUUGUGGGGUGCUCGAGUGGCGAACGGGUUAGUAACACGUGAGUAACCUGCCCUUGACUUUGGGAUAACUUCAGGAAACUGGGGCUAAUACCGGAUAGGAGCUCCUGCUGCUUGGUGGGGGUUGGAAAGUUUCGGCGGUUGGGGAUGGACUCGCGGCUUAUCAGCUUGUUGGUGGGGUAGUGGCUUACCAAGGCUUUGACGGGUAGCCGGCCUGAGAGGGUGACCGGCCACAUUGGGACUGAGAUACGGCCCAGACUCCUACGGGAGGCAGCAGUGGGGAAUAUUGCACAAUGGGCGGAAGCCUGAUGCAGCAACGCCGCGUGCGGGAUGACGGCCUUCGGGUUGUAAACCGCUUUCGCCUGUGACGAAGCGUGAGUGACGGUAAUGGGUAAAGAAGCACCGGCUAACUACGUG
rnacentral:rRNA from 1 species